rnacentral:misc_RNA from 1 species
AAGAAUUUUUUGUUGUAAGAGGAAAUUGUAGUUGGAAUGCUUAAAAUUUAAGCAUCACCACUGUGCAAAUGUGCAUAAUUUGAACUUUUGUUUCAUGCACUCCCUUUGGUGUUGAAUGUAGUUUUGCAGAUACCAAAUUAAGGUCUGGCUUGGGUUGUGGAUGGGGUUGCAUAAAUGUUAACUCUAACCUAAUUUUAGUGUUGACCUUGGUUUGGUUAUAUAGACGUCUAAUCUUGAACAUCUCAUGCUGGGCUCAGUUUAGUUGAAGAUAUCUGAUGCAGAGCUGCAUAUAACUAAAUUGCUCUCUUACUGGCAGCCACUUAAAAUGUACCUAGUAAUAGUAUAUAAUUACUUCAAUUUAUCAGAGCAGUAUUUCAGUUGUCCUUAGUUAUGAGGAUUUUGGGGUGACAAAGAUAUUGAUCGGUCAUGUUCCCUUGUAGUGAUUCUAAAGUGCUGAUAUUGUAAGUUAUUUCUUCUGGGGUCGUCUGAAAUUAACUUGGUGUUGAGUGCUAAUGUUCAUUUGAGCUUGAUGAAUAGCACUGUCUUUCAAAAUAUUGUGUGAUUUUCUGUGUUUUAUCUAAUCAGGGAGAUUGUUUUGGGCUAGUUUUACCUUUUGGGGAUGGAUACUUCAUUUGGGAAAAAUCAGUUAAAUUUGUGAUUUUUGUUUUAACUAGGGUAAAGUUGUGUCCUUUCUAGAAAACAAUGAAAUAUAAACUCAACUUGCAUGGAAUUAAAAAUCAAGUCAAGGAUCUUUUGUUGGACAUAGACAUAAAAGAUCAACCAAUGUGAUAUCAUGUAAUCAAUAAAGUAUCAUAAUAUCUAUUAAUGUUCUUGUCUCAUCGAUCAUUUUCGUUAUCACCAAUUCUUGGAUUUCCUUUGGCAUUGUUUGGUGACAUACGGAAUGAGAACGUAGUAGUAUUCUAAUCCUAGUUUGGUUGCAAAAUAAAAAAAUGUAAUGUAAUGACAAUUUUUAUUAGUAUAUUUAGUUUAUUUGAUAGUAGCGGUAGCCAUGCUUUGGUGGUGGUGUUGGGGGAGAAUUUGUUGGUGGCGGUAGCAAUAGGAUGGUCUUGGUGAAAGUAAUAAAAGUAAAUCGACUAAUCAAGAUUCCUCAUUUAAAGCAAAAUUUAGGAAGAUUUCAGGUUGGUCUUACCUGGGCAUGGGCCCUUUUUUCCUUAGGUUUCAGGCCUAUGCUCAAAGGAUUCAGGCAAAGUAGGGCAUGACAUAGGACCCCAGCUUUAUUGGUAAAGCCUGGUUUGGGCUCAUCCAUGCCCAUCUGUAAUUAGAACUAUAUAUCGUAAUACAUUAAAAUGGUUACAUUUGAUGAUGGAUGAAUGGGUGGGUGAGGUUUUAUUUGGGUAAAUUGGAUACGGAUGCCCAUAUGCCAGGUAUGCUUAUACCUAGCAUCUCCUGUUUGUACUUUUGUACUUCUGUAUUUUGGUUCUGCUGGACGGUUAAUUAUGGUUGAUAAUGAUGAGAAGUUCUAAAUUAAUUUUUCAGAUGUUUGUUGCUUUGAUUUCGUACUGCAGAAACUAUUCAAAGGAGCUGUGAGGCAUCCUUAAAAUGCCUCCAGACCAACGGAUUCCCAUACGGGAAUUCAAUUGAUAUUUUUCCAGAGCUUAAAGAAGAAAUCAGUGUGCACUCAGGUGGGGAUGUUGUGGAACCAGUUCACUCAAUAAGCAGCGAAUUUCUUGAACUUCCUAGUGAAUUUCACAGCAAACCUACCUACCAUCAUGAUUUUGGCUUGUGGUCAACCUUCUAUCCUGACUCUCAAAAGGUUCAGCAGUGCCAAAUGAAUUGCUUUAAGAGUCAAGUUUAUCCCUUUCCUAUGGAAACUCGAUUUCAGUAUCCCCUGUCUAAUAUGUACUCCCAAGGUUACCCCUAUGAAUUUCAGUUCCAAGAUUUUCAGUAUUUUGUAGUCAUAGACUUUGAGGCUACUUGUGACAAGGAAAAAAAUCCCCAUCCACAAGAGAUAAUUGAGUUUCCAUCUGUCAUUGUGAGCAGUGUAACUGGCCAACUAGAAGCAUGUUUCCAGACAUAUGUGCGGCCAACUUGCAAUCAGCUCCUAAGUGAUUUCUGCAAGGAUCUGACUGGUAUCCAGCAAAUCCAGGUGGACCGAGGUGUCACACUUAGUGAGGCUCUCCUUAGGCAUGACAAAUGGCUUGAGAAGAAGGGGAUAAAAGACACUAACUUUGCUGUGGUUACAUGGUCAAACUGGGAUUGCCGAGUGAUGUUAGAAUCUGAGUGCCGAUUUAAGAAGAUCAGGAAGCCCCCUUAUUUUAAUCAGUGAGCUGACUUGUUAAUCUGAAUCCUUGCAUGAUAAAUAUAUGUUCUUUGUUUUGCAAAUUGUUUUUUAAUUGAAAAAAGUUGCUGAUAUAAACAGUGCAUUAUGAAUACACGGGGCCAUUUUCUAGCUCUUUCCUUUUAUUGGGAUGCUUUCAGAUAAAUAUGAAAACUACAUCUAAUAUGGGUAUAGUUUGGACUAAUUUUUUCAUUCAUUUAUUAGGUGGAUCAACUUGAAAGUUCCUUUCUGUGAGGUAUUUGGUGGUGUUAGGUGCAAUCUAAAGGAGGCUGUGGAGAUCGCAGGCCUAGCAUGGCAAGGCCGUGCUCAUUGUGGACUGGAUGACGCCAAAAACACUGCUCGCCUACUUGCCCUCCUCAUGUGCAGGGGUAUCAAAUUCUCCAUAACAAACUCACUAAUUUGGCAGACAACUGAUGGUUCAUUGCCGUCCCCUGACCGUCUUUCCUCACUACAUCAACCCUAUAAACCUAAGGAAAUGCGUAUUCCUUUUUUCCCUUAUCACCCUUUCUGUUACUGCGGAGUGGAGAGCAGCAAAGGCAUGGUUCGGAAGCCUGGACCAAAGCAAGGGAGCCUUUUCUUUGGCUGUGGCAACUGGACUGCAACUAGAGGUGCCCGCUGUCAUUACUUUGAAUGGGCAUCUACCUGACGUGAAACUAUGGAAAGACCUCUUUAUGUUUCGCCAUUGCAUCCUACAAUCUUUUGGGAUGUAAUAUGUAAAAAAAAUUAAAAAAGGGAUGGAAAGAAAUUUAGUGGCCUAGUUGGUUGUCUCCUAGUAGAAGCGGCUGUUUGGUGAGGUUUCUGCUUUAAAGAGAGAGUGAAGUAUAAAUAGCUGGCUCAAGAGUGUGGUAAAAAUGUGGGGAGCUACAGCCUGUAAAGCUGACUUGUGGACAGGAGAACAAAUUGGGAAUGCGAGGAAUGGUAGUUAGGAUGAGUUUUACAUGCUUAGACGUGCUAAAUUAUCAAUAUCAUAAAUAAUCAGUGAGAUAGAGACAACUGGGUUUCCUAUGGAUUUCUAAUGGGAAUAUGGGUAGAAGUGGCUGCCUUCAGUUUGCUGCUCUUUUCUCUCUGUGGGUGUGUUAUUUUAUUGGUGGUUGUGCCCAUCAUGAGCUACAACUACGUGGUCAUUUUGAUGCUUAAAAUGAUCUUUACCCCUCGUCAACCAGAUGUGCCAGCAGAAUAGCAUCAACUAAUGGAGAGAGAAAGCAAAUGAUGUUUUUUUAUGAUGGAAACUGUUAAACCUUCAUUAAGAUGAAAAGCCUUGGGAGGCAGCAUGACAGAAUACAUGACCUAUCCACCCUUUUAUUAACCAAAAAUGAAUUUAAAAAAAAAAAAUUUGAACUGGUAUUAACCACAAAUGAUUGUUGCGUAGAAAGAAGGGCAUUUAAAUUCACGGAAAUGGGCAUCCUAAGUUAUGUUUCUAGGCUUAUAUCUAACCAUCAAAUUUAUGAAUUAAUCGAAGAAUAAUGAGAUCAGGUAUGUGAAUCAAAGAACGGGCUCGGUUGCCUUUGUUACCCAGUUUCAAUCUUUUGGGGACUUUGUUCUGACUCUAGCCGUGCUUGAACUCCUCCGUUCUUCCCUGCGAGUUGAUCUCCAACGACUGCCCUCUGGAGUUGGUGGUGGUGGGGACUGCAGCUGCUUUGUUUCUUUCUGCCAUAACUAAGGUUUGGUGUGUUGGGCUGGGCUUAUGAACCUUUUAGUUUUAGCCAUGGGUUGUUUUGUUUGCUGAGCUAGACUUCAUUAUUUUCUAGCCUGUUGGUCUGUUUUAUUUAGGCUCUUAUAUUUGGGCUUUGACCAUGUAUGAUUUAUUCCCAUUGGCACAAAUGAUAUUUCUAGAAAAAAAAAAUAAAGAGCCUAGAAUAAUUAUAAUUAUAGCUAAUUAUUGUUAGAGAAAUGACUUUUUUUUUUCUUUUGUAAGAGGUGAGAUUAUGUUAGGGUUUGUACUUUAGCCUCUUCACGUGCUGGAUUAAUGGCUAUAAGGGGAGGGGACUGCAGAUUACUGAGUCAAUGACACUUGAUGAUGAGGCAGGACACACUUUGCUGCAACUGCAACUGAUGGGUCAUGGGAACACUUUCAAGAGUCGGCAGAUAAAUAAAUAAUUAAUAUAACUAAUUCUGGAAAAAGUAAGCUUUUUUUCAACAUUAGAAAAAUAUUAGCCCUCUUAUUUGUGGGUCACAAUUUCCCGGGAUGAAAGAUCCUCCAUAGAUAAUUUCUCUUACAUCUUUCAUGAUCCUUUUGAGAUUUGAACAAAAUACACCAGGGACAUGCACAAAGAUAGGAAGAGAGAAGCAUGAAGGGAGAAGGGAAAAGAGAAAAGGAAGGAAUAUCACUCCCUACCUUCUCUACCCUCUCUCUUAAAUGCUUCUUGCCUAUUUUAUACCUUCUCUAGCUUCCUUGUAUAUUUUUCCUUUCAAAAUCCUUCUUCUAACUUUCUUGAAUAUCUGCAUACAAGUCACUUCAUUUUCUUUCUUAACUUCCUCGCUCUUAUCCUGUUCUUUACCAUUCUUAUACUAAAAUGGAUGCAGCAAAACGAGCAAUGUGUACAGAUGAUCUUUUAAACCCACUUACUACCACCUUCGUGCAGAGCUGCAUUAUGCUUCUUAUCUCCCAGUUCUUUCAUGUAGUCCUGAAGCCCCUGGGACAACCGGGACCUAUAGCGCAGAUUUUGGCAGGAUUGGUGCUAGGUCCCUCAUUGUUAUGCCGGAUAAAGAAAAUCGGAGAAUUGUUCGAUCAGCGUGAUUUCUCUGAUUACAACUUCAUUGUCUCCUUCAUUUUCCGUAUCCUUUUUAUGUUCUUGAUCGGUCUUGAGACAGAUAUUCCUUACAUAAAGCGAAACUUUCGCCAAGCAAGCAUGAUUGCAUGUGGGGGCAUAAUUGCCUGUAGUGCCUUUGGAGCAGCAAUCACUAUCUUUGUAAUCCGUAUGUUGAUAAUAAAUGAGCACAAGCUUAUUUUCGCCCAUAUUAUCAUGAUAAUCUUAGCAAGCUCAGCCCCUCCUGUGGUGAUUCGUUUGAUAACUGAAUUAAAGUUUCAUACAGCAGAAGUAGGGAGAUUGGCUAUAUCUUCAUCUUUGAUUAAUGAAAUGUCUUGUAUGAUAUGGUAUGAUAUAGUUAUAGCUUUCACCUCAGGAAAAAUGUUUGGUCAUGGGAUUCUAUGCCUUGUUUUCACUGUGUUAGCCGUUGUUCUAAAUAGAUUCUUAGCAAUUUGGUAUAACAGGAGGAGGCAGAACCAAAGAUAUUUGCCAGGCACUGAUGUGUUAACCAUUUUGUCGCCCAUUAUAUUUUUCUCAUUUCUUAUUGAAGAAUUUGGAUACAACAGUACAAUUUCUUGUUUCUUCAUCGGUGUGAUGUUCCCCAGGGAAGGAAAAACAACUAGGACAUUGUUGCAUAAACUUACUUACUCUGUUAAUAAUUUCAUCCUUCCCAUUUACUUUGGCUUCAAUGGCUUCAGGUUCGAUGUAAGUUAUCUGGGUAGUUUUAGAAAUGUUAUUGUUGUUGUCCUUGUGAUCGUGCUCAGCAUUGGGGGCAAAAUUAUUGGAACACUAGUCGCUUGCCAUUAUCUAAAGAUUCCAAGGAAUGAGGGAGUGAUCCUUGCAUUUAUUCUCAACUUGAAAGGCCAUGGAGAACUUCUACUCAUUGAUGUAGUCCCCAAGUCCAAGGCCUUUGAUUGGUGGGAUGAUAACUUUCACAACUUGGUGAUAAUAGUAGUAGUGCUUAACACAUUUAUUGCAGGACCAGUAGUGUCUUGUAUAUUAAAAAGAGAAGAAAAAUACUCACAAGGUCACAACUCACUUGAAAUUGAUGAUGGUCCUCAGAGUGAACUCAGGAUUCUGUUUUGUGUUUAUAGCUCUCGCCAUAUAUCAGCAAAAAUUGGUUUAAUCUCAGCAUUGAAUGGGUUUAAAAAGGUCCCCAUCAGACCUUAUUUGAUGUACUUAGUUGAGCUACCCAAAAAACGCUGCAAAACCAAAUUGAUGUACCACGAGCUAGAAGAUGGAGAUCAAUAUAGUGAUGAAGAAGACU